GCGAGUGUAGCUCAGUUGGUUAGAGCACCUGACUGUUAAUCAGGGUGUCGGGGGUUCAAGUCCCUCCUCUCGCG
rnacentral:tRNA from 1 species